rnacentral:rRNA from 1 species
UGGGGAAUAUUGCACAAUGGGCGCAAGCCUGAUGCAGCCAUGCCGCGUGUGUGAAGAAGGCCUUCGGGUUGUAAAGCACUUUCAGCGGGGAGGAAGGCGAUAAGGUUAAUAACCUUGUCGAUUGACGUUACCCGCAGAAGAAGCACCGGCUAACUCCGUGCCAGCAGCCGCGGUAAUACGGAGGGUGCAAGCGUUAAUCGGAAUUACUGGGCGUAAAGCGCACGCAGGCGGUCUGUCAAGUCGGAUGUGAAAUCCCCGGGCGCAACCUGGGAAAUGCGUUGGAGACUGGAAGGCUAGAGUCUUGUAGAGGGGGGUAGAAUUCCAGGUGUAGCGGUGAAAUGCGUAGAGAUCUGGAGGAAUACCGGUGGCGAAGGCGGGCCCCUGGACGAAGACUGACGCUCAGGUGCGAAAGCGUGGGGGGCAAACAGG